GUUAGAUUGUCAAGUCUCUAAAGGUCUAAGCACACUAGGCUGAAUUACGCCGGCGUAAUUUACGUGGCCGAAAUUACGUUCAGCCGCUUACGUCUGAUGCAACACACUAUAAAUUACGCGAAGAGCCGAAAUUU